CCUACGGGAGGCAGCAGUGGGGAAUAUUGCACAAUGGUGGAAACCCUGAUGCAGCAACGCCGCGUGAGUGCAGAAGUAUUUCGGUAUGUAAAGCUCUAUCAGCAGGGAAGAAGAUGACGGUACCUGUAUAAGAAGCCCCGGCUAACUACGUGCCAGCAGCCGCGGUGAUAUGUAGGGGGCAAGCGUUAUCCGGAUUUACUGGGUGUAAAGGGAGCGCAGACGGCAGUGCAAGUCUGGAGUGAAAGGCCGGGGCCCAACCCCGGAACUGCUCUGGAAACUGGGCGGCUAGAGUACGGGAGGGGCAGGCGGAAUUCGUAGUGUAGCGGUGAAAUGCGUAGAUAUUAGGAGGAACACCAGUGGCGAAGGCGGCCUGCUGGACAGUAACUGACGUUGAGGCUCGAAAGCGUGGGGAGCAAACAGGAUUAGAUACCCUGGUAGUC
rnacentral:rRNA from 1 species